AGUGGCGGCGGGCCCGCGCGGUGCCGGCGACUAGCAGCGAGAUGUCCUGGCCCCUUCCAGGUUUGGCUUAGACUCAGGGCUGAUCAGGGUAAGAAGGCGACCUUCCCACCUAAAGGGCAGGUUUGGACUGAGCGCCGGCGAUUUUCCUGCGAGCCCAACACUUCCUAGAACAAGUCGAUUAAUACCCAGAAUUCAGACACCCCAGGAAGAGCCAAGUGAGGAGCGCGAGAUCCUGUUAUCCCGAAGACACCCAAGCGGCUGCCAAAAAGAAGGGGCCGUUGGUCCCUUUGCUCUCCAUUUCCAGCUGUUCCAGAACUAGCUGCUAUCUCUCUGGACUCACCAGCCCCUCUAGGAAAUCUGGAGAAUGGAGAGAGCAAGGUGUAGCUGAUUAGCAAGUUAAUUAUUUCAGUACCCCAAGGGUUCAUGCGUGGUGGAGAUGGCCUUGGGAGAGCAACCUCCGGACCUCAGCAGUGUGAGGAUGACAACAGUACCCUGUGGUGCUGUCCCCACUCAGGGUUUCUCUCUGUAGCCCCGACUGUCCUGGAACUCACUCUGCAGACCAGGCUGUCCUCAAGCUCAGAGAUCUACCUGCCUCUGCCUCUGAAGUACUGGGAUUAAAGAUGCAGAGGCCUCCCAGAGAAGUGUGAAGGAAUGGGCCUUAACCAGGGUUGAAGAAAGAAAGUGAAGAAGGGGAGAGCCCAAGGAAAGGUGGGGACAGUUGGAACUUUUGUUUACACUGGUCUACUACUCAUGUAUCGUAUGCUAUAAUCUCCAAAUUCCACAUUUAUUGUAGCUGUCUGCAGUGUGUAUGCCCCGGCCGCAUGCUGCUUGGCUAAAAAAGUGUUAAAUAAAACUGUAAGAAACGCUA
rnacentral:lncRNA from 1 species